CUGACUCAGAUUCCCCUGGGAGGUCACUCUCCCCACACUCUGUCCAGGUGGCAUCGUGGAGCACAGGGCUCUGCCCCAUCAUGUUCAGUCCCUUUCCCCAACGUCGGGGAUAAAGUGUGGCCUUGAGUCUGCGCCUGCAUGUGCUUCCAGCUUCUCACAGUACUGUGGACAAUGACUGAGGAGACACACCCUGCCGGAAACAGCC